UGAGUAAGCCAGGCAGUCGCGUGCAUCAUAUUUUUAAGAUGCAUGAGGAAAGUCCGGGCUCCAUAGGGCAGGGUGCCAGAUAACGUCUGGCGGAGGUGACUCUAGGGAAAGUGCAACAGAAACACACCGCCUACCGGCCAUAAAGGCCGCGGUAAGGGUGAAAUGGUGAGGUAAGAGCUCACCGGCAGUAUGGUAACAUGCUGGCCGUGCAAACCCCACCCGGAGCAAGACCAAGUUAGGGAGGUUACUGCCAAAGGGCAGUGCCUGAAAGGCGAUGGCCCGUCGCUUCCCGGUUGGUAGGUCGCUUGAGCUCGUUGGUGACAGCGAGCCUAGAUAGAUGACUGCCUAAUACAGAACCCGGCUUAUGGCUUGCUCAUACU
rnacentral:RNase_P_RNA from 1 species